UCAUUAAAUCCAUAGGUACAGUGAAACCGCCUAUAAAAUAGAUAGGUUUUUUGUUAUUACAUUAGAUAGGUACCUAUACUUGAUAUAAUAUUUAAUUACAUGUACACAUUAUAAUUUAUAAGUGAACGAACAAUAGGGUUUAAAUAGCAAUUCAAAAAAUCAAUAGUCAUUGUUGUUAUCAUUCGCAAAGUAAAAUAAAAUGUGGCUUUAUUAUUGUGACACUUGAAAAUAGUUUUUACGUACUUGCGUCAUUAUGUUUGCAAUCACUUACCCGUGUGAAUACUGCAGACCAAACAAUGCAAAAAAAUGAAAAAAAUUGCACGAACCAAUAUCCGAUAACACGUAGAGCUUGUUUUAUGUCUAGGCACUUGUAUAGGGCUAACAUUGCGAACACGAAACUUGCUCUUGGAUGGUCGUUCGUCAGCCGAUGAAAUCCGUACAUCGGGUAGCAUGAAAAAAACAAUGAAACCAGGAUGCUGCACUGUGUCCGGCGACAAGGAUAUGCAAUCAAUAAACACCACAAGAGCUAGUAACGGAGGACACGACCAUAACAUAAUUUUGUAUAAAUGUAUAUUAUAAUUUACGUGAUGGAAUACGUUGACGGGCAAAUUCAUACACACUGAUAAUAAAUUAGGCAUAUAAAACGUUACGGAAAACACCAUGUAUUGUGUAUAACUCCAGCCUUAUGAAAAGACUUAAAUUAUAAUGCAUAUAUAACUUGGCAAUUAAUUACCAUAGAAAAUCCAUCAAACAUUUUUUUUAUAUAUACGUUGAUAAGUUCAAUAAUAUUUUAAUUAUAUUUUUAAAACCCAAAUAAAUGUGUCUUUAAUCUGUAUAAUACCUUUAUUAUAGAUGAAACUAAUUAAUACACAUAUUAACUAACCUUGGAGUAAGGCAAGACCCACCAUAAGCAAACAUUAUAAUACUCUCCAUAAUAUUAUCGCAAACCAACAAAUAUUUUAUAAAUUAUUAUACUUUAAAAUUAUUUAAUUGUAAUAUGAUAGACUUAUGCAUGAAAUACAAAUAAUAGGUAAAGUUAUUUGUUUUAAUUAAAUCGAUAAUAAACUGUAGUCUUAAAUAAAUUAAUUAAGUUAGUAAUUUUAUUAUUUUUAUUAUAUUCUAUUUUCUAUAUGCAUAAAAUAUGUAUUUUUAUUUUUGUUUAAAAUUAGUCCCAAUUUCUAAUUAUAACAAGAUAUGUCAACAGGACUAAGCUAACACCACAGGAUAUUACAUUAUUUAUUACAUUAUAUUAUAUUACAUUAUAAUAAACAUCUUUUAUUAAUCUUCAUCUAUUUAACUUCAAGAAUAACAAUAUUAGUUGUAAUAAUAGUUGAGAUAUACUUCCCUCCCCAUAAGCCAAAAAUAAACAUAUAGGUAGCUCAUACGAAUAUAUAUGAUUUAUGAUUUAUCUAUAAAUCCAUUAUCUUAUUAAACACUUCCAGAAAAAUAACUAAAAGUUCAUUCAUAAAACAUAAUAUUUAACAGUUCAGUGCAACAAUUUAAAUAUAGUUAUUAGAUAAGCCAAGUUGAAAUGUUGCAAACAAAAUACAAAAUACAAAGAUAAUACAUUAUACACUUAUA